AUUGCUUCUGAGCCUUUUGGCUAAGAUCAAGUGUAGAAUCUGUUCUUAUCAGUUAAAUAUCUGAUAUGUUCCCUAUCCGGGGACCAUAUAUUAAAUAGAAUUUUGGAAUAGGGAAAUGGAAUAGGGGCUUGCCCUGCACUCUACGCAUCGACCUGGUAUUGCAAUACCUCCAGGAGCGGUGCAUGCACU